GAGCAUGGACUAUGGACCAUCACUAUUAUGCGAAAACAGCUGGUGAGUUCUUCUGUUCAGUAUCAGUAUUUCAUGGAGGCUUUAGGGUUGCCCCAUAUAG
rnacentral:snoRNA from 1 species